CCGCCGCCGCCUCCGUCAUCCACUCGCCGCAGCAGGCGGCCCUCGCCAAGCCCAAGCUCUGGUCGCUGGCCGAGAUCGCCACCUCGGCGGACAGGGCGAGGGAGGCGGGCGGCGAAACGGCGGCCCCCGGCCCCGCCGUGCUGGGAGGCGGCGGCCCCCCGCGCCCCUCUCCGCCGCGGCCCCGCUCGCCGUCCGCGCAGUGCCCCUUCCCCAACGGGGCGGUCCUGCCGCGGCCGCUCUACUACACGGCGCCCUUCUACCCCGGCUACACGAACUACGGCUCCUUCGGGGCCCUGCACGGGCACCCCGCCGGCGGGCCCGCCGCGCCCGGCGCCGCCUUCAAUGGAUUAAACCAGACUGUGCUGAGCCGGGCCGAGGGGCUGGGGAAGGAGCCCAAGGCGGCCAGGAGCCAGCCCCAGGCAGAGCUCGGCAAGGACUCGCCGUACGAACUGAAGAAAGCCCCCUUUUAACCCCUGUGACCUGAAGAAUAUCUCCGUGUAACAGAGGCAACAUCAGGGGAGCACAGAGACAAAGAGCCCAUUUGAUACGACGGAAAAUGAGAAACGCGAGGAAAGUCGCUGCGGGGACAGAUCCGCUCAGUUUUCGGCUUUCAAUCACUUUGACUACUCAAGUGGGAAGAAUGCAGAAACGAGAUAAGGUGCGAGAAGAGAAAAUGACAAACCAAUUUUAACUUUCAGAAAGGAGCCAGCCAACAACUUCGUUGCUCCUGAGGCGGAGCAGGAGUGUGGGCAGUGCUGUGGCUCCGAGCCGUUGUGCCCAGCCCAGCCAGUCGGGCACGGCACAGCUGUCCUGAGCCCGUGAAUGUCCUUCCUCCUCUGCUGGAACAGCCUGGGUCCUCCUCUGAGCAGCGGUUAAUGCUUCCAUCGCUAUUCUGGGGCUGUGGCUUGGAGAGAAACAACUUCCUUUCCCCCUUUAAAGGCUUGCUCUAAAUCAUGUGUGACGCAGUGCCCACCUGUACGCACAGGACCAACACGAUACCUUAUGCACUGCACAUUGUUGCUUUGAGCAGGGUAAGACCCCCAGCAGAUCAAAAACAUUGCAGACAAUCUCAAAAUCUUGUAAAAAUGCAUUUGCCUGAGAUUUGGAGCCAGAGAUCUUCCUGGGACAGAACCGAUUUAGCUCUCAGCUUCCACAGGCCCCUCCCUUGCUGCUCCAACACAAGGGCAGGGCCUGGGGGGGCUGCAGCCUCACAUCUCCAAGUGAAGGUGUGCGUGUCUCGGCUGGACCUGCUGCCAAGGAGGCAGCUUCUCCCAUUCAGUCCCAGAACUAGGAGAAAAUCUCUCAUCUACUUCAAGAACACAUAUUCUCUGUGAAAACCAAAUCUUGCUGUCCCAUGCUAGGUAACAUUGUCAUUUUGAAUGCUCUUGCUUGCCAAACGUGAGGUAUAUAAUGAAUCAGAAUGGUUAAUUUUCCAGAUCUGUUAAGAAAUUGUCAGAGGAGAAAAUUCCUGAGCAAUCUUUCCAUUGCAGAGGCUGUGUGAACAAAUCACAAAACUGCCCUGAGCCGACAUGUUGCCUUCUCUGACUACAGGAAUGCAGCACCCACCUCAUGUCCAGAAGAUCAGAAAACAUUUAUUUUAAUGUUAACGAAUGACUAUUUGGCCGGGACCCCUCUAGGCAAAAUGAUCCCCUAGAAAACAAUGUUUAUAAACAUCCCCAAGCAAACAGCCCUCUCCUGACACCAGCCUACCACCAAGGCGCUGCUCAGCAAGUUUUAUCUGCAAGUCCUUGACCUGUGACUGCUUUUACAAAGGCUCUCUGUUCAUUAGCGAUUUCAGGUCACUUUGAGUACUUGUGUCAUGAGUGCACAGCACAGCUGUAAAAUACACGUAUUAAGUACCAGCUGCAUUAAUACAGGGGCUUAUUUUCCUCCGCUUGGCUCCCAAAAGCAACAUGAUCUUACAUGUCGAUGAAAAAAGACAUAGCUAUAUUUGCAUAAUUACGGCAAUAUUGUAGGUCGUUAGUACAACGGACCUAAGAGGCUGAUUUAUGAUUAAAUAUGUAUGGCUAAAAGUUGCCAUGCUGGGUAGUGUGCGUAGCAUUAGACAAUGACAGUUUUGGGGCAUAAUUGCUUUAAUGUGGGCAAUUAAGACUAAGUGCAUGUGAUUUUAGUGUCUGCCCUACAUUCCUCUGAAUGAUUACAAUGAUCAAUACACAUGAUUUGUAAGUCGCUUCCUAUUGAUCGAAUGGUAAAAUGUUUGACCUUCCUUUGGGGAAGUAAUUUGCUAAAUUAUGACACCACGUAAAGUCUUUCUUGGUUCAGAGGUGAGGGGUAAUGGCACUCAGAAUUAAAAAAAGAAAGAAAAGAAAAGGAAAAAAAAAAAAAAGGAAAAGAAAGAGAAAAGAAACUUUCUUCCCCUUCCCCCGAAGGUCUCUGCAAUGUCCCUGCCCACUUGCUGACUUCACCUGAGCAGGGAGGAGUCUGGCACAUCCCUCCUGGAAAUUAACAGGGGGAAAAGACUGGACUGCACACUCGAUCCAUCUCUGCAAGAAACUCUCCUGAAUGAAGUCGAUCUGUUUACACCUUGAUGCCAAACCACCAGGAAGCUCUGACCACAAGGUCUCUGCUGUUUGCAAGCUGCUGGGAGAAAUGAGCAGCAGCAAAGCUGGGGAAGCGGAGCACCGUGCGAGAGCUGGGACACGUGGCAGGGCUUCCCGGGCUGCUUGCCAGCCUGCGCCUUGCUGCGCACAUGGCGCAGAAUAGCUCUCACUGUAUCACAUUAGCAGGUAUGAAAAGGAAAACAACAAAGAGCUCAUGAAACCAUGUUAGCUGGCGAGCAGCGACUUUGUUCUGGUCAGACGCUUCCGCCUGGUAAGAGAGCCUGAGCGGGCAGGUAGCAAAGGAGAUCAAACCGAGAAGGUGCAGUGUGCUGAGAUGGAGAUGCAGUGCUUACAGGGGGGCUCUGGCCAGGUCCUCGGUGCCCCCACCCACCAGCAGCUUGCACUGCUGCACACAUCUGCAGCAGCUCCCACUCACUGCCGGCACAUCGGCACGCAGCAGGGGAAAGGAGUUCUGUCCCUGGUGGCUCAGCCAGGGAGAGCUCAUUCCCUGCCACCAAACCCCUGCUGCUGGGAGUGCAGAGCUGAGAGCUGGAUGGAGAAAUGUUCAUGUGCUGGCACUGCCCAGGACAUCAUCAGGACUUCAUCAGGAGAAGGUCAGCUAAGUCAUCUCACCUCCCUGGCAGAUCUGAACAUCAUCGGUGUUAGUAGCACAGUUCUCACCAAAUUUCUUUUUUUCACAACAUACUGUGCAGUACAAGUCCUGACCUUGAACUGGGAAUCGAGCAGUUGGAUAUCCUUUGCUUAAGCUCUCCAGCUGCCGAGAUCUGAUGGCAAGCUUUUCAAUUUCAAAGAUAAGAGCUGCUGCCAGUGUUUUCUCUGAACCUGCUUGUGGGAGAACACGUCCCCAGGUCCUGCUCAGUCCCAGCUCCCAGGGUCUGUGAACACCCUGAGUUCUCCUGGGACCUGCAUGCGGGCUGCCUGAGCUGAGGAGCACCGAGCCAGCCCCUGGAAGGGAUGCAGUCACCUCAGAGAGGUCUGCAAUGGCACCUGAGAACCCCAGGGCACCUGGCUGUGACCAAGGGCCUUUGAGAGCCCCACAACUGGGCAGAAGCUGGAGGCUAGGGAAAUACCGCGGUGCUCCUCUGAUAGCAGGAACACCACUGCAACAGCCAACGGCAAGGAAAGUCACUGCAGCAUGAACCAGCCCAUCCUAAAUCCAAUACCUAAACCAAGGCUGAGGACAGACACACUGGAAGUGCUCUGCUGACUAUGGGGAGAGCCCACAGGGACUGCAGUGUGGGCAUCUGGAGCCAGGGGAGAUGGUUUCACAGCAGGCAGAUGGCCCCUCCCUGCUAGGUGCCUGCCUUUAGAAUUACCAUAAAAACCUCAGCAAUCUCAAGCAAAAAACAGACCCACCCACUGUAAAAUAUAUAUUGAAUGAAUUCUUUUUACUGAUUCGAGAAAUAGUGUUAAGGAGUAUUUAGAAAUAAACGUUUGUCAAAAUCUGAAUAGCCCAAGUACCUCUAAUACCUCAGCUGAAGUACCACGGCAGUACCCAAUAGAAUGGGAUAGCAGUUGUUGUGAUAAACGGACAAGUUGUCAAAGCUCUGAUUUACAUCGGAACUUCACUCACAAACACUUCCGUUGGCUUUCUACUGAAAUAUUUAUGGAAUAAGACAAAACUCCAUGACCCUCACUCAGGAAUGCCCAUAACCACCUCCCUGGCUUUAAACAUGGAGCCAAGGAAGUUGAUAAGGCUUCAAUACACAGUUACAGCAUGUUGUGGAAUCAGGACAGGUUCCUCACGUGGGGCUGCGCAUGGGAGAAUCCGGCCUGCAAAUGUAAAGGUUACAUAAGACACAAAAUUGCACCAAAUAUUUGACAAAUCGCAUGGCUACAUGAAAACCAGCAUUUGCAAAACUAAGUUCCUGGUUAUGCUGAGGACCAAAAAAAAAAACCAAAAUAGGAUAAGGUGUCAGUAUCGGAAUAGGAAAAGAGAAACUUCGCAUGCAAAACUGGUAGGAGGAUUUGUGUGAUUUUGCAAGUUCAAAAUGUAACAGACACUUUUCUCUGUUGCCGUUAAUUUUGUUUUGCCUUCUUAUUAACUGCAUCACUUUGAUGAAUACUUUUAAAAAUAAAAUAAUGGCUAUCACUCAGGCUGCUUUGAAGUAUCUCUGAGUAGAGUGACUGGUAGCAUUUAUUGAUUUCAUAGUGUGACACUAAAAGUUUUGAUACGGGAUUUUAAAAAAUGAUAUUUGAAGUUAAAAGAAGACAUCUUGAUUAAAGCCAGAACAAAUUGUUUGGCUGAGAUUCAAGCUCUGGUUCACAUCCUUUUCCAAGCCUGUCGAUUCACUUGCUCAGUAGGAAAGGCCCAUAUGCUUUCAAUGGAUGAGUUAAAAAUUCAUGCAGGAAACUGCUUCGAAGUUGGGAACCAACGGAACAGCUAAAUCCGUAAGGGAAAAAUACAUUCAUAGAUGUUGGAUAUCGGAACGAGGUAGAAAGGUCUGUGCUUACGGGGUUCAACUGUGAGCCACAGACAGUGUGACCUUGAAGCCCAUCCCAGCCUUCUGUGCAUCCGUUGCCUGUAUGCAGACUACUGAUAAUACCGUCCCCAUCACCUCCUGCACAGGGAGCUGGGAAGAUGAGCAGCAGCUCCACGAUGCUCUAAGCCAUAUGGCUGGCGAGAUGAGCUGGGGGCUACCAGCUGAAAUCUCAAAAAGGCUGCGAUGCACAUUGCUGAGCUGGUGGGUGUGAACACUCCCUGCCUGCAGCUUUUGGGCAGCUGGCUCCAAAGGUGCUUUGGAGACUCCACCACACCAAAAACUGAGGCUCUGCUGACAGCCCCUACUGAAAGGCUUGACAACAGCCCUCCUGGCUUCUCAAGGUGAAGAGGGAAAAGGACAAACCCAUAACUGAGGGCUUCAAGAUCCAGCAAAGCCUCACAUUUCUCCUUUUCAGUCUGGUAAACAAAGACGGCGUACUACCUGGCAUGAAGAAACAGGAGCAGGAGUUGUUCAUAAGGAGCUGAAUCUUCACAGAGAUAUUCUGUCCCAGCCACAGCCAACUGGAGUCCUCAAGUCCAACUUGAAGAACCCAUUCCUGGGUUCUAGGAAUAUAAAUUCCUAGAACCCAGGAAUCCAGGAAAUAACUGGCCUGAAGCACCUGCUCCCGGGCAGUCCAAGAGAAGACUAUCACCACUUCUCUCCAGCUUCUUCCAUUGCUGGUGUCACUGGGGAUGAGACUGACUUUUAAAGGAAAUGCUCGCUAGGGCCGCUUGGAAGGGUUGUGAAGAAGAAAUACCUUGUCAGUUUUGCAACGGAAAAUGUAAUUCCAUUGCAAAAAAAAAAAGAGAAAAAAAACUCACCAGCAGGCUAUUGACUGAGUUGUUAAACUCUGGGGGGAAAAAAAACCUGUUAGGUGAGCUGGUUAAUAUCAAGGCUCACCACUCACUUCUGCAUACUACAGACCAUGUCAAAAGCUUUCCAGUAAUCAGUAGAGCUUAAGAAAAGUCUCUGAUUAACUUUUCUUUCAUCUUUCUCCUUUCCAUCUGGUGUUAAAGAUCAAACCUUCAGUUCCUCUCCUCUUUUAAGCCUUGCCUGUUUGACAGCAAACUUCUCAUCCAUCUUAAAUCUAGUGUGGGCUAGAGUGUCUUUCAGCAGUGGCUAGAGGGUAGACGUAUUAUCAGAUACUAACCAUAUUGCUCCUUCCUUUUUACUUUAGCUCUGUAUUUGUUAUUAUAGGAUAUAGCUGGGUUUUCCGACUGUUCAGCUUCUAUCCCUCCACUGCUGGAUAGUGCUGUGCUGAUAAUGCUUUGCAAAUCACUGCAGCAUCCCAGCUUUGGAAUGCACUCUCUGCACUUUGCAUAACUCCUUCCAACUGCACCAGCUGCCCAGGAUGCCUGUCCCCUGGGACUUGCAGCAUCUGUGCUCCUCAAGGUACUGUGACAUGGGGAUGACAGUGAUUUUGACAAUGCCAGGGCUCUAAAGCUUCACACUGCACUGUGCCUGCAGGGUAAAGGCAGUGCCCUCCCUUCAGCAGAGGCUGUGGCAGGACUGAGGCUCAGCCACCCUUCAGAAAUCCAUCUUAGUGGGACGUGAAUGAGAACAGCUGGAACCAGUGGGAUCAGCAUAGACCUGGCCCUGAUCCUCCUCUCAUGGCACUCUUACAGCUAGUCCUUAGCAGCAGAACAAGAAACACAGCUGUAAUUAUUUGCUACGUGGCUUGCAAAAAACAGAGGUAACAUCUUGCCAUCACACGGGGGCCACUGGGGGCCCCGAAGACACAGAGCAUUUGGAUAAUGGUAAAUGAAAGAACAUCAAGAUAAUUACAUUUCUAAUUAUCUCAACAUAAAUUCUGCCUCACUGUUCUGAGCCUGGAGCAAAGAAGUGGGUGCUAUCACAUGGGAGGAGGCAAGCGAGCACCUUUGGAGGUGAGUGGUGCUGUGUCAGAACCAGGUCCUGUCAGCUCACCUCUGCCUGAUGUCAAGCAGUACAAGGGGUCAGGAGAAAUGCAGAAGCACCGUACAGGGCAGAUGUGGACAGCCUGCAUCCUAUCCUGCUCUACGGUAGUCAGAGGCUGACUUACAUCCUAGAAUAUGUGGAUCAAAACCCUUUGCAUUAUUCAUUGCAUUAAUUACAGCAUUGUGUAUUUCUGAUUUCCACAUAAGCAUCUAAAUGGGAAUCCUCCCACAUCUUGGUUGGAGUAGUUUGCUGUGGCAGACAGGCCCUGCUUAAAUCCUGUGUUGCGUAAAAAAGCUUUUCCAUUUGUCAGUGCUGCAUUUCAUACCUUUAACUAUCAAUUUAGAUGACACUGGAAUUCACUUAAAACAUUUCUUCUCAAUGUAAUAUAUUCUAUAUGUGUAAGCUCAUGCUCAUAUGGUGAAAUGGCAAUCAAUUGUGCUUACAGUUAUAAACACAAUUACUGUGCAGUGCCACUGCUGCAGUUCCUGCAGCUCUCGUUGGUGCAGGGACAGGGAUUAAUCGUCACGAGGGCUGGGGAAGGGGGAAAAUAAUAAUAAAUGCAAACAUUCUGAUGAAACGCUGUGGAAUGCUGAGCUGAAUGUGGAAAGGACCAACUCCUCACAGCUCUGACAGGCUCAUAUGACCCCACCACGGGACUGACUCAUCCAUCACCAAAUUUCUUCAGUUGUAAAGCAGCACAGCUUUGAUUGCGGGACACUCUGCUGAUAGCAAAGCCUGAGGGACAGAGCUGUGGGCCAGACUGCCCGCUUCUUACAUUUGUUGGUUGCAUGUAACGUACAGAUUAUGACAUGUUUUAUGCUACAUUGUUUGCCAAAAUGCACUUUAUUUGCUAAAGGGAGCUGAACUAUGAAAAUAAACGAGCUAUUUUUUAAGUUAAUGAUGUGCACAGGCUCCUGUUGAAAUACUUGGAGAAUACACCACCUUCCUCUACCAUAUUUAAUUCUGCAGACAACGCUUGUUUAGCAAACCAUGUCUUUAAAUCCGCAUUUACGAUCUCAGGAGGUCUGACCGUACUCCUUGUCUCUUUGGCUGUGGGAUAUGAACCCAUAACUUGGCUAGCUCAGCAGCUAACUCGUCUGCCUCACCGAUGGGUUCUCAAAAUUAAUUGGUGAGUGGUGUGCACUGCUUUAUGCGUGCAGCCCACAUAGCAAUCAUGAUUUAUUUCACAUUCAGUAGAAGUUUUAAAUACUCUUUUGCCCAAUAAUGCAAACUUUGAAACGAUUUCGAAACUCUGCUUUCAGUUUAGGGAAAAGCCACUCGCUCCUGGGUUCUCCGAAGGCAUGGAAAGAUGUCAAGUUUUUCAGUGCUGCAUCUGAGAGCCAGAAAAACAACACACUCUGGGCAGAAUCAGCGUCAUCAUAAAUAAAAGAGUAAUGUUUUGAUUUGGAGUUAUAAAUAAUGAAAUAAGCACCUGAUUUUUAUCCAAAAAAUUAAGAGGCAUA
ensembl:lncRNA